rnacentral:rRNA from 1 species
GACGUAGGGCGCGAGCGUUGUCCGGAUUUAUUGGGCGUAAAGAGCUCGUAGGCGGCUUGUCGCGUCGACUGUGAAAUCCCGCGGCUCAACUGCGGGUCUGCAGUCGAUACUGGCAGGCUAGAGUUCGGUAGGGGAGACUGGAAUUCCUGGUGUAGCGGUGAAAUGCGCAGAUAUCAGGAGGAACACCGGUGGCGAAGGCGGGUCUCUGGGCCGAUACUGACGCUGAGGAGCGAAAGCGUGGGGAGCGAACAGG